AAUACUAAGUAUUGGUAUUUUGAAAUCUUACUAAUUAAUACUUUGGUUUGUAGAAUCAUCAAUCUCUUUUAGGUACUUCUUAUAUAAAAAUAUUAAAAUAAUAAUUACUAAAAUUACUAUUACACUCUUAGUUCCAGUCUCAACAAAGAUAAUCAAAUCACACAUUUAGAAUUAACAAAGAUACCUAGAUCACAAUUAGUAGGACAGUCAUACUUACAUUUAGCAUUAAG